GCUCAACCGACUGAGCCACCAGGCGCCCCUCUCUUUAUUUUUCAAGGGGUUGUUGACCUCCUCCCUGUCUCAAGUUCACUUCUGGGUCCGACAGACACAGAUGGGCCUCAAGGAGCUCCAGGCUCACAGGCAUGAAACCAUAAUUUGGAGAUCCAAAGAUGGAUGGCGUAGUUCCUGCCCUCAGGACUUCGUAACUGGGGAGAGAGAAACAUGCAAUGAAAAUGGUAACUCUAGUGUGGCCAAUGCUGUCAUGGAGGAGGGGCACCAUUGUGCAGGAGCACAGAGGAGGCAGUGGAGGACUCAGCUUGGAGGGGACGGAGAACGUUUCCUAGAAGAUCUAAUAGCAUCAACGGUGCACCUUGAAAAGAGAGUAGGAAUUCUCCAGGCAGAGGGAACAGCAUGUGCAAAAGCCAGGAAGUGUGAGGCUGGGUUGUGCUUUUAUCCCUCUGUGUCAGACACCGCGUUGAGCACUUCACGUUCAUGAACUCUUCCUAAUCCCACAAGUUACUACAAGGACUGGCAGAAAACCAUGGUCCUGAUAAGAGGAGGUGACUGUCAUCAAGGAUAAAUAUGAAAACAGCAUUUAGGGGCAGCGUGGGACUUGAAUUCAGAGGACCUGGAUCCAAGAACUGGUUCUUCAUCUUAUUGGCUGUGAGAAUUUGGACAAAUUAUGGUACCUCCCUGAAUCUCAGUUUCUUUACCCAUUAAGUGGAGAUAAUAGUACAUACUU